rnacentral:rRNA from 1 species
CUCGUAGGCGGUUCGUCGCGUCCGGUGUGAAAGUCCAUCGCUUAACGGUGGAUCUGCGCCGGGUACGGGCGGGCUGGAGUGCGGUAGGGGAGACUGGAAUUCCCGGUGUAACGGUGGAAUGUGUAGAUAUCGGGAAGAACACCAAUGGCGAAGGCAGGUCUCUGGGCCGUUACUGACGCUGAGGAGCGAAAGCGUGGGGAGUAAACA